AGAAGUAAAAGUCGUAACAAGGUCUCCGUAGGUGAACCCGCGGAGGGAUCAUUACAGAGUUCAUGCCCUACCGGGUAGAUCUCCCACCCUAUGUUAUUAUUACUUUGUUGCUUUGGCGGGCCGUUAGGCUCCGGCCCGACUACCGGCCCCGGCUGGUAAGCGCCCGCCAGAGGACCCAAAACCCUGAAUAUUAGUGUCGUCUGAGUACUAUAUAAUAGUUAAAACUUUCAACAACGGAUCUCUUGGUUCUG
rnacentral:misc_RNA from 1 species